UACAGGGGGGGCAAGCGUUGUUCGGAAUCAUUGGGCGUAAAGCGCGCGUAGGUGGCCCCAUAAGUCCGCUGUGAAAGUCAAAGGCUCAACCUUUGAAAGCCGGUGGAUACUGUGGGACUAGAGUACGGAAGAGGCGAGUGGAAUUCCUGGUGUAGCGGUGGAAUGCGCAGAUAUCAGGAGGAACACCAAUAGCGAAGGCAGCUCGCUGGGACGUUACUGACACUGAGGCGCGAAAGCGUGGGGAGCGAACAGG
rnacentral:rRNA from 1 species